rnacentral:rRNA from 1 species
CCUACGGGUGGCUGCAGUGGGGAAUUUUGGACAAUGGGCGCAAGCCUGAUCCAGCCAUGCCGCGUGCAGGAUGAAGGCCUUCGGGUUGUAAACUGCUUUUGUACGGAACGAAACGGCUCCUUCUAAUAAAGGGGGCUAAUGACGGUACCGUAAGAAUAAGCACCGGCUAACUACGUGCCAGCAGCCGCGGUAAUACGUAGGGUGCGAGCGUUAAUCGGAAUUACUGGGCGUAAAGCGUGCGCAGGCGGUGAUGUAAGACAGAUGUGAAAUCCCCG